rnacentral:rRNA from 1 species
UGUCUUGUAAAUGGAAUGAUGGUGACUUAAACCCUCACCAGAGUACCAAUUGGAGGGCAAGUCUGGUGCCAGCAGCCGCGGUAAUUCCAGCUCCAAUAGCGUAUAUUAAACUUGUUGCAGUUAAAAAGCUCGUAGUUGAAUUUCAGCGUUUCGCGUGUGCCUCUUUUGGCCCAUCUCGUCUCGCUUUUUUUAUUACUUUGAGAAAAUUAGAGUGUUUCAAGCAGGCUUUUGUCUUGAAUACUUGAGCAUGGAAUAAUAGAGUAGGACCUUGGUUCUAUUUUGUUGGUUUUGUUACCUUGGUAAUGGUUAAUAGGAACGGUUGGGGGCAUUCGUAUUUAACUGUCAGAGGUGAAAUUCUUAGAUUUGUUAAAGACGAACUACUGCGAAAGCAUUUGCCAAGGACGUUUCCAUUAAUCAAGAACGA